AGCUUUGCGCAGUGGCGAUAUCGUAACCAAUGAGGUUUAUCCGAGGUGCGAUUAUUGCUAGUUGAAAACUUUAACCAAUACCCCGCCUAGGGCACGUGAAAUACCG
rnacentral:snRNA from 1 species